UACUAGCGGUCCAAGUCGCAGCCAUUUUUAUUGGGUCUAAAACAUCCGUAGCUUGCUUGAUAAGUUUCUCGUGAAAUCUUAAGUCUCAAACUUAGGAAGUGCGAGAAAUACUGUCGAGCUAGAGACUGGAAGACGUAAGAAGUACGUUCGAAGUAGCGGUUAAAUGUGUUAAUCUCGAGCGGACUCACAAUAGCGAAGGCAUCUUACGAGGACAGUUCUGACAGUAAGGGAUGAAGGCUAGGGUCGCAAAACGGAUUAGAUACCCCCGUA
rnacentral:rRNA from 1 species